GCAACAGUGGUUCAGUGGUAGAAUGCUCACCUGCCACGCGGGCGGCCCGGGUUCGCCUGGCCGAUGCA